rnacentral:rRNA from 1 species
CUUCGGGAACUCUGAAGACAGGUGCUGCAUGGCUGUCGUCACCUCGUGUUGUGAAAUGUUGGGUUAACUCCCGCUACUAGCGCAACCCUUAUCCUUUGUUGCCUGCGGUUCUGCCGGGAACUCUCAGGAGACUGCCAGUGAUAAACUGUAGGAAUGUGGGGGAUGACCCCCCAGUCAUCA